rnacentral:lncRNA from 1 species
UGGAUUUUGUUUCUAUCGGGCCUUUUCCUUCACUCGGUCCAAAUGUAUUUUUAAUGGACUUAGUUUUUCCUCCAACAUUCGGCCCAUCUCGUUCACCAAGUAUUGAAAUUCAUCGGCAGAGAAUUCUUCUUGAGACAUGAUUUCACAGAAAGAAGAAAGGUUAAAAGAAUAAUAACAAGAAAUUAGUUACCUCACCAUAAAAACUCACAAUUCACUCAAAAAAAAAGAAAAUAAUUC